rnacentral:rRNA from 1 species
UACAGAGGUCUCGAGCGUUGUUCGGAUUCAUUGGGCGUAAAGGGUGCGCAGGCGGCCGAGUGUGUGAGGCGUGAAAGCCCGGGGCUUAACCCCGGAAUUGCACCUCAAACUACACGGCUAGAGCAUUGGAGAGGGUAGCAGAAUUCAUGGUGUAGCAGUGAAAUGCGUAGAUAUCAUGAGGAAUACCAGAGGCGAAGGCGGCUACCUGGACAAUUGCUGACGCUCAGGCACGAAAGCGUGGGGAGCAAAAGGG